GGGAGUAUAGCUCAGCUGGUUAGAGUGCCUGCUUGACAUGCAGGAGGUCGUUGGUUCGAGCCCAAUUAUUCCCACCA
rnacentral:tRNA from 2 species